GCCAUUAGCUAGCUUUUUAUUUUGAAUUAAUUGAAGGGCAAUUUUAGUAAAAGUUAAAUAAUCUAAACAAGAAGAACACAAAAAUUUAGUUUCAUCUUCUUCAUUUUGAAGGGCUCCAACCGAAACCACCAUGUUAGACCAUCGAAGCUUCGGUUUUGAUUUUUCCUCUUGCAUGUAAGUGUAUUUUCUUCCAUUUUGAUUAAUUUUUGUGUUUUUAAGGUCGUUGUAGCUAGACCGAGCUAAUUUAGGGACUAAUUUGAUAAAUAAUAAAAUGUAUAAGUUUUUAAGGAAUUUAGUUGUUCUUGAAGUGGUGGAUGAAUUUAUAAGUUCAAUGGUUUAGUUUAGCUAUUUUGUGAAGCAAUUUUUGCUAGUAUUAGCUUCCAAGGAUUAUAAUGUUGAAAUGUAAAAAAUAGCAUGGUGUUAAUUUAUAAAAUAGAAGAUUUUAGGGACUGUAUAAGAAUCCUUAUAUGUUCAGUGAGCUGGGGAAAUUGAUUUAAGAAUAUUAAUUAAAUUGUUUUUUCCAAGGGCUAAGUUAUAUAUAAGACAAUGUUGAGGGUGAAAUGUAUAAAUUGUUAUGGGAUAAAUUGUUUAAGUUGAAUCAUUAUGGUUUUGAAUUAGUUAAUGAAAUUAAAUUAUCGUAUUUAGAUCAAGAAACGAGCAGAAUGGUCAUUAAUUGAGGAAAAAAGAAAGUCAUUGAGUAAUCGACCUCGAUCAUCGGAAGUUAACGCAUUUUUGGUAAGUAUGUAAUCAUUAAACUCAAACUUUAUUUACUUAACUAAUUUGAUAGUCAAUUAUAUAUAUAUUCAAAUGAUUAGUAUUUUGAAUGUAAUGUUAUGGAUAUAUAUAUAUAUGAAAAUGGUUAUGGAGUAGAUUAUAGAAAUUCAAUAUAGAAGAUUAAUGUAAAUGAUUUAAAUUAUGAAUUGAAGAAUUGUGGAAUGAUGUAAUUACAUAUGUAAUUGUUGGUUUAUUCUACUAGCGCUAGGCGCAACUCAUUGUUGAUUUAUCCAACUAGUGCUGGGUACACAUUUGACACGUCGGUUUAUCCGACUAGUGCAGGGCACACUUAUUGGCGGUUAUUUGACUAGCACUGGGCGCAAAACCGUUUAUCCGUUAGGCACCGGGUGUCAUUCACGGAUUGACUCAUAAUGAUAAUGUUUGAUCGAUCCAUUGGAAAAAUGUUGAAUUAUGAAGGUAUAUGAAAUGUUCAUAUUGAACUAUAUAGUAAAAUUUCAUGGAAAUAGACAUUAUAUGUUUUGGAUUAUAAAAUCAAGGCCAUUAAGUGUAAUUGUAGUUCUUUGAGUUAAUAACUUACUCAUUAUUUAAUUAUUCCUUGUUGUGCAAGUUAGGUACUUACUUUUUUUUUGACAACUCAGCAUCUAACGACAAUCCCAAAUUCAAAGUUAGUGAUAUUUUCUUUUGAUGUUUUGACAUGUACUUAGGACAAUAAUGUGUUGUGUAGUGGUCUUUAGGGCUAUAAAUGAAUAUAGUAAAAGUUAUUUGCAUAAUAUGUUGCUAUAUAACUUUGAAUAAUUUUAUACCUUAAUGUAAGUAUUAAUCCA
rnacentral:lncRNA from 1 species